AUUCGGCGUGGUUGUGGGCGGAAUUGUCGGAGAGGAGUUCGUGGGUUGAUGGUUUCAAGUUACAUGUAUCGGUCACCUGGUUUCUUGAACGGGGUGUUUUUAUUUGUUUUUUCCACGAUUUGAUGUUUUGUCGUAACUUGAGUCACUACCAGAAUAAAGAACCUCUCAACCCCUUACAGCGAGUCGUCAUCCCAUUCUUUUGUGUCGUCGGUGAUGAAAUUGUUAGCUGUUACUUUGACCAAAUAUUUGGUAAA